GACGAACGCUGGCGGCGUGCCUAAUACAUGCAAGUCGAACGCUGAAGAGAGGAGCUUGCUCUUCUUGGAUGAGUUGCGAACGGGUGAGUAACGCGUAGGUAACCUGCCUGGUAGCGGGGGAUAACUAUUGGAAACGAUAGCUAAUACCGCAUAAAAUUGAUUAUUGCAUGAUAAUUAAUUGAAAGAUGCAAAUGCAUCACUACCAGAUGGACCUGCGUUGUAUUAGCUAGUUGGUGAGGUAACGGCUCACCAAGGCGACGAUACAUAGCCGACCGGAGAGGGGGGUCGGCCACACGGGGACGUGGACACGGCCCAGACGCCUGCGGGAGGCAGCAGUCGGGAAUCUGAGGCAAUAGUGGGAACCCUUACAGAACAACGCCGCGUGAGUUGAGGAGAUGUUCGGAUCGUAAAGCUCGGUUGUGAGAGAAGAACGGGUGUGGGAGUGGAAAGUGCACACUGUGACGGUAUCUUACCAGAAAGGGACGGCUAACUACGUG
rnacentral:rRNA from 1 species